AUUGAACGCUGGCGGCAUGCCUUACACAUGCAAGUCGAACGGCAGCACGGGGGCAACCCUGGUGGCGAGUGGCGAACGGGUGAGUAAUGCAUCGGAACGUGUCCAGUAGUGGGGGAUAACCCGGCGAAAGCCGGGCUAAUACCGCAUGAGAUCUACGGAUGAAAGCAGGGGAUCGCAAGACCUUGUGCUACUAGAGCGGCCGAUGGCAGAUUAGGUAGUUGGUGGGAUAAAAGCUUACCAAGCCGACGAUCUGUAGCUGGUCUGAGAGGACGAUCAGCCACACUGGGACUGAGACACGGCCCAGACUCCUACGGGAGGCAGCAGUGGGGAAUUUUGGACAAUGGGCGCAAGCCUGAUCCAGCAAUGCCGCGUGCAGGAUGAAGGCCUUCGGGUUGUAAACUGCUUUUGUACGGAACGAAAAGCCCUGGGUUAAUACCCUGGGGUCAUGACGGUACCGUAAGAAUAAGCACCGGCUAACUACGUGCCAGCAGCCGCCGUAAAAC
rnacentral:rRNA from 1 species